CACACAAGGACCCUGGUCCUUAAUUUUAGCUCAUUUGUUUACAUUAUUUUGCAAGUCCUUUUGCCUCCGCUCUCUUUUAGAGCAAAGAUGAAAGAGAAACUGUUUCUACGCCAUCAACCUGCAAAACGGGUUGCCAGGAGUUCCUGUUUCAAAGUGAGGAACGUGCGUGCGUGUGCUUCCGUGUGUGCGCGUGCGUGCAUGCGUGCGCUUGCGCAUGUGCACAACGAGGGCGCAUGCGGACCGAAGCUCUCAGGUGCUUCGGCACGUCCCUGUAUGCUUGCAUGGCGGGGAGGAAGUACCCUAUGACAGGACGCCAGCAUUCUUUUUGAUGCCGUUCUCAUUUUAAAGUUUUUGUAACUUCACAAAACAAUGGAUAUGAAGAGAUAAAAUAAUUAGGGAGGGAAAAAACCUUUUUUCUUGGAAGACAUUGCCUCUUUAUUGUGGAGGAAAUUGUUUGGUACUAGUUGGCCAGAAUCAAGGAAACGAAGAGUAGGACUCAGUCUUGCCCUGCUUGUUAACCACCGGUCAUGGAUCCAAGAGCAGUUCCCCAAUGGGCUGAAUGCCAGUGUUCUCUCUUGGCAAACUGGACACAGUCUGACCCGAUGGGAAUGUGGAGGCAGGGGACAGAAUGAGUUGCUCAUGUCUAUUGCUACAAGAACAAGGAGAUGAGUAAUUCUGUGUGGAGUUCAGCGAGAUGUUGGAGAUACCAUUGCAAAUGAGACGAGGUUCUUGACCCCCAACUCCCGGAGAUGAGCCAUGGAGGAGGAAAGGCUGCACAGCAUCUGCCUUUCUGGAGUCAGGGGAGGCUGCAUGGAGAAGAGGACAACUGCCAUGGAUCUUGAAAGAAAGUGACCAGAAAGUUAUUGGCUGUGGAAAACUGAAUCACCAGUAAGAAUCCUAUAAGAUGUCUGUACUCCCGACUUUUCUCAAGCCAAAGAUGGGCCUCCGUACUCAACUUUGACAUCAAUAUUUAUUUAAAUGAAUAUAAGCCCAGAAGAAAUUAUGAAAGUAAAAGGGAAAAAGCAUGUUAUCCCAAGAAGCAAGGAAGAGAAGCAAGCAUCCUGUCUAGCAUCCCAUCCUGCCAUAGCCCCCAUGGAUCUGGAAUUCAGAGCUCUGAGCACAGUGGUGCUACCUGGCUGGUACAUGUGCCUCAGGAACUUGGAGCAUUGCCACACUGAGGUAGAAUUAAAUCUCAUAUCAGUCGUUGGCAGCAUUGGCCAAUUAGUGCUGGUGCCUCUGAGUGAAUGCUAUGAGGUCCUAGUCUGGAAUAUAUGCAAACAAGAACCAACCAUUGCUUAUGGAAUGAAUCACUGGUCUAGAUUAAAGAAGUGCAGCUGGAGGGCUGCUGUCUAGAACAGGAAACAAACAUGUAAAGUAAUGUUGUCUUCCCGCACUAGCUUUGCAGUCUCUCUCUUGCAACCUCUUACCAGUGAAAUCUGACAAGACACUGAAGAGAAUCCCAGUCUUCCCACCCCCAGGGAAGUAGCACACAGUUUCCCUGUGGUAAUCAGGAGAAAUGACCCAGAUAUUAGAGCAUCUUCUU